GAUGAAGAACGUAGUGAAAUGCGAUACGUAAUGUGAAUUGCAGAAUUCAGUGAAUCAUCGAGUCUUUGAACGCACAUUGCGCCCCCUGGUAUUCCGGGGGGCAUGCCUGUCCGAGCGUCAUUGCUGCCCUCAAGCACGGCUUGUGUGUUGGGCCUCCGCCCCCCGGCUCCCGGGGGGCGGGCCCGAAAGGCAGCGGCGGCACCGCGUCCGGUCCUCGAGCGUAUGGGGCUUCGUCACCCGCUCCGUAGGCCCGGCCGGCGCCCGCCGGCGACCCCCCUCAAUCUUUCCAGGUUGACCUCGGAUCAGGUAGGAAUACCCGCUGAACUUAAGCAUAUCAAUAAGCGGAGGA
rnacentral:misc_RNA from 1 species